UAGCUCAGCUGGUUAGAGCACUUGACUCAUAAUCAAGGGGUCCCUGGUUCGAGCCCAGGUGGGACCACCA
rnacentral:tRNA from 1 species